rnacentral:lncRNA from 1 species
CAGGAUCCCUUAGGGUGCUGUUUAGGAAACAGACUAAGAGAAAGCAAGGACAAGAGCUGAAAGAGUUCAUCCUCUAUCUUCUGGGAGAGCUUCCAAAAGUCCUCUCUCUUGUCCUUUGAUGUCAUUAUGAGUAGAUGUGAGAUGUGAGGAGAACUACUGCCUCUCCAUACUCAUCUGAGUGUGAAACCGCUCCACACAGGAAACAGAGCCAAGAGAACUACUGAGAAAUGCACACAGAGCUACAAAAUUUGGUCAACUAUAAAGCUUACCUUGCACC